CGUGCACUUCGACACUCAACAUGCCUUCUCCUUGUGAACCUUGCAAAGAAUCCUGCAAAGACGGCUCGUGCAAAGAUAAUUGUUCUUGCAAAGAAAAGAACUGCAGCGAAACAUCACAAGGAGGCUGCUGCUAAGAUCUUCCACCAUGGACAGGCCAAACACCAGCCGACCGUCUGUUAACAGCCGCGUGACACGCAUCCUCGAGGUCUGCUUCCCAAUCUCCUUCUCUGUGGUCUUCGUCAUCACUAUUGUACUAUUUUAUUGUAUUAUAUAAAUCUUGUGGUGAUAUA